UACGUAGGGGGCAAGCGUUGUCCGGAUUUAUUGGGCGUAAAGAGCGUGUAGGCGGCCAGACAGGUCCGUUGUGAAAACUCGAGGCUCAACCUCGAGACGUCGGCGGAAACCAUCUGGCUAGAGUCCGGAAGAGGAGAGUGGAAUUCCUGGUGUAGCGGUGAAAUGCGCAGAUAUCAGGAAGAACACCAGCAGCGAAGGCGGCGCUCUGGGCUGGAACUGACGCUGAGGAGCGAAAGCGUGGGUAGCAAACAGG
rnacentral:rRNA from 1 species